rnacentral:rRNA from 1 species
UUAGAGUUUGAAUCCUGGCUCAGAUUGAACGCUGGCGGCAGGCCUAACACAUGCAAGUCGAGCGGUAGAGAGAAGCUUGCUUCUCUUGAGAGCGGCGGACGGGUGAGUAAUGCCUAGGAAUCUGCCUGGUAGUGGGGGAUAACGUUCGGAAACGGACGCUAAUACCGCAUACGUCCUACGGGAGAAAGCAGGGGACCUUCGGGCCUUGCGCUAUCAGAUGAGCCUAGGUCGGAUUAGCUAGUUGGUGAGGUAAUGGCUCACCAAGGCGACGAUCCGUAACUGGUCUGAGAGGAUGAUCAGUCACACUGGAACUGAGACACGGUCCAGACUCCUACGGGAGGCAGCAGUGGGGAAUAUUGGACAAUGGGCGAAAGCCUGAUCCAGCCAUGCCGCGUGUGUGAAGAAGGUCUUCGGAUUGUAAAGCACUUUAAGUUGGGAGGAAGGGCAGUUACCUAAUACGUGAUUGUUUUGACGUUACCGACAGAAUAAGCACCGGCUAACUCUGUGCCAGCAGCCGCGGUAAUACAGAGGGUGCAAGCGUUAAUCGGAAUUACUGGGCGUAAAGCGCGCGUAGGUGGUUAGUUAAGUUGGAUGUGAAAUCCCCGGGCUCAACCUGGGAACUGCAUUCAAAACUGACUGACUAGAGUAUGGUAGAGGGUGGUGGAAUUUCCUGUGUAGCGGUGAAAUGCGUAGAUAUAGGAAGGAACACCAGUGGCGAAGGCGACCACCCUGGACUGAUACCUGACACUGAGGUGCGAAAGCGUGGGAGCAA